GACGAACCGUGCGAACGUUGUUCGGAAUCACUGGGCUUAAAGGGCGCGUAGGCGGGCGGCCAAGUCGAGGGUGAAAGCCCCCAGCUCAACUGGGGAAGUGCCUCCGAUACUGGCCGUCUCGAGGGAGGUAGGGGCGUGCGGAACUUCCGGUGGAGCGGUGAAAUGCGUAGAUAUCGGAAGGAACACCGGUGGCGAAAGCGGCGCGCUGGACCUCUUCUGACGCUGAGGCGCGAAAGCCAGGGGAGCAAACGGG
rnacentral:rRNA from 1 species